rnacentral:rRNA from 1 species
UACGGGGGGGGCAAGCGUUGUUCGGAAUUACUGGGCGUAAAGGGCUCGUAGGCGGCCAACUAAGUCAGACGUGAAAUCCCCAGGCUUAACCUGGGAACUGCGUCUGAUACUGGAUGGCUUGAAUUCGGGAGAGGGAUGCAGAAUUCCAGGUGUAGCGGUGAAAUGCGUAGAUAUCUGGAGGAAUACCGGUGGCGAAGGCGGCAUCCUGGACUGACAUUGACGCUGAGGAGCGAAAGCUAGGGGAGCAAACGGG